CCUACGGGAGGCUGCAGUGAGGAAUAUUGGUCAAUGGACGAGAGUCUGAACCAGCCAAGUAGCGUGAAGGAUGACUGCCCUAUGGGUUGUAAACUUCUUUUAUAUGGGAAUAAAAUGUUCCACGUGUGGGAUUUUGUAUGUACCAUAUGAAUAAGGAUCGGCUAACUCCGUGCCAGCAGCCGCGGUAAUACGGAGGAUCCGAGCGUUAUCCGGAUUUAUUGGGUUUAAAGGGAGCGUAGGUGGAUUGGUAAGUCAGUUGUGAAAGUUUGCGGCUCAACCGUAAAAUUGCAGUUGAAACUGGCAGUCUUGAGUACAGUAGAGGUGUGCGGAAUGCGUGGUGUAGCGGUGAAAUGCUUAGAUAUCACGAAGAACUCCGAUUGCGAAGGCAGUUCACUGGACUGCAACUGACACUGAGGCUCGAAAGUGUGGGUAUCAAACAGGAUUAGAUACCCUUGUAGUC
rnacentral:rRNA from 1 species